CUUUAGUAAAGACAUUGGGUACUGAUGAGUUAUAUUAUCUAAAGGAGCAAUUUUCGCUAUUAGAACCGAGCAAAACCGGAUCCAUAAGCAUGGAGAAUAUCAAAACGGCCUUGUUGAAGCAUGCUACAGACGCAAUGAAGGAGUCACGAGUCCAUGAUUUUCUAACAUCGCGGCAUUAUGUGUGCUUCAGCUUGAGGCUCUUGAUAGAUGGGAGGAGACUGCACG